rnacentral:tRNA from 1 species
GAACGUAUGGCUUAGUAGUCCGAGCGCCAGCUCAGUUUCCAGGAGGCGCGGGUUCGAGUCCCAUUACGUUCA